rnacentral:misc_RNA from 1 species
AAUUCAUUCUCAAAAAAAUACUAGAGCAACAAACAACGUAGUGUGGUGGUUACUCUAAAGAAUAAUAAUAAAAUAAGUUGUUGGUGUUUUUACUAUUUCUUCUACAUAAAACAAAAAAUAAAAUUAACUAAAAUUUUACAAACUAAUUGCAUGUUAAUUAUUGUUGUUUUAAAACAAAUAAAGAAAAUCUACAACGAUAACAACAACAGUUACUAACUUAAUAAAAGAUAAGACUAAAUUUGCAAAAAAGAAACGAACAUUAAAAUAAAAUCUAAAAGUUAAGGAAAAAAUAAACCAAACAACAUUUAAAUAAUAAGUUAUUAAAAGGUUAUUAACAAAAUACCAACAACUACACAAAAGUGAAAAUAUAGAUAAAGUUGAACAAAAAAAAAAAAAAACACGAGAAUCUACACAAAAGCAGAUUGUACGAACCCAUACUUGUUAAAAGAAUUUAAUAAAUUAUAAACCCUUACAAUUGUUUAUUUUUUUUACAGUAAAACUAAUAAAUCAAGCUUCUCUGGAUUUAUUUUGCCUAGACUUGUCUUCUUUUUUGUCGUUUUUUUUCUUUUUGACUGUUUUUACUCUUCAAUAGCAACAACCAACCAUGACCAAUAUGCGUCCUCCAAAUAAAUCGACUUUAUUGAAAGUCGUUAUAUUGGGCGAUGGUGGCGUUGGCAAAUCAUGUCUUAUGAAUCGUUUUGUCUCUAAUCGUUAUGAUGAGAACAAUUUCCAUACAAUUGGUGUGGAGUUCAUGAACAAAGACAUUGAGGUGGAUGGUGAGAAGUAUACAUUGCAGAUAUGGGACACUGCUGGUCAGGAACGUUUUCGUGCUUUACGCACACCUUUCUAUAGAGGUUCAGAUGUUUGUUUAUUAUGUUAUGCCAUCGAUGAUUAUGAUAGCUUUCGUGGCCUUAAACAAUGGCGCGAAGAAUUUCUACAUUAUGCCGAUGUUAAGGCAGAUAAAUUUCCCUUUAUUGUAGUGGGCAAUAAGAACGAUUUGGCACAACAAUGCCGUCAGGUAGGUUCGGAUGAACUUAAACAAUGGUGUGAUAACUUUCAAAUACGAAGUCACAUUGAAACCUCUUCGAAAACGGCCACCAAUGUUAAUGAUGCUUUCAUCUUGGCCGUACGUCAAUGGAAACAUAUGGAACGUAUAGCAGAAAUUGAAUUAAAACAAAAUGACACAAUUGAUUUGACCAAAACAAUACGUUUAGCACAAAAUCGUUUUUGUUGUACGGGUGGUGGUGGUAGCAGUGCAUCCACCACAACAGCUACAGGUAAUUUAGAAUCAGAAGAUGAAUCUAUGCAUACACCCUCACCACGACGAUUUGGUAAACGUCCAACGAAACCUCAAGAAACUCAUUAUCAACUUUAAAAAAGAAAACGAAUAAUUAUUGAAAAAAUAAUGCGAACCACAAGGAGCAGCAGUAGUAGGAGUUUUUUGUUUGGUUUUCUAAAAGCAAGAUUCUAAAACUAUAAUUGGUUGUAAUCACCACAAAAAAGAGAAAAAAAUCAUUUAUAUUUAUUAUCAUGACCCUUAAUUUAUUGCAUUUUAUAAUAGAACUGAAAAGCAAUUUACGGUUUCUCAGUACUUAACAAUGACAGCAGCUUUCGUUUAAACGGUUUCAUUAAACAAUGUCGGAGAACACGUAGACAAAAAAUCC